rnacentral:ribozyme from 13 species
UUCUUUUUUUUUCUUUUCUUUUCUUUUCAUUUUAAGUAUCUAUUGGUGAAUAAAAACAAAAACAA